rnacentral:tRNA from 1 species
AGCGGGGUAGGGAAGUCUGGAGUUCCCGAUGGGCUCAUAACCCAUAGCUCGGUGGUUCAAAUCCACCUCCCGCUA